UACGGGAAGGGCAAGCGUUAUCCAUCAUGACUGGGCGUAAAGAGUCCGUAGAUUGUAAAGUAAGUUAAUUGUUAAAUUUUGAAGCCUAACUUAGAAUAAGCUUUUAAUACUGCUUUACUUGAGUUUUAUGCAGAAAAGUAGAAUUUUAUAUGAAAGGGUAAAAUCUGUAGAUAUAUAAAGGAAUAUCAGAGGCGAAGGCGACUUUUUGGUAAAAACUGACGUUAAGGGGCGAAAGUGUGGGGAGCAAACAGG
rnacentral:rRNA from 1 species